UACGUAGGGGGCAAGCGUUGUCCGGAUUUACUGGGCGUAAAGCGCGCGUAGGCGGCUUGUUAAGUGUAGAGUGAAAUCCCCGAGCUCAACUCGGGAACUGCGUCCGAUACUGGCAGGCUUGAAUCCGGGAGAGGGAUGCGGAAUUCCAGGUGUAGCGGUGAAAUGCGUAGAUAUCAGGAGGAACACCGGUGGCGAAGGCGGGUCUCUGGGCAGUAACUGACGCUGAGGAGCGAAAGCGUGGGGAGCGAACAGG
rnacentral:rRNA from 1 species